rnacentral:misc_RNA from 1 species
CUAGACCUAGCGGCUGUAGAAGUUCCAUCCACAAAUGGAUAAUACUUCUAUAUUGGAUUAGUGUAUACGAUUUAGUGAAAAUAAAGGAGCAAUACUAAAAUUGUUUUAUCAAUAAUUUUAGUAUUGCUCCUUUAUUUUUAUUUGAAGAAGGAUAAAAAAACUAAACAUGAAUGUUGUAAAUUGAAGUAUUGUUUAUUUUUAUCUUUUUAGAUUCUAUAUCUAAAUACUCUAUACUCUCUUAAUAUUAAUAUUAAUAUAGUAGUCUAGGGGCGGAUGUAGCCAAGUGGAUCAAGGCAGU